rnacentral:rRNA from 1 species
GAUGAACGCUAGCGGCAGGCCUAACACAUGCAAGUCGAGGGGUAGAACACUUCGGUGUUUGAGACCGGCGCACGGGUGCGUAACGCGUAUGCAAUCUACCUUGUACAGGGGAAUAGCCCAGAGAAAUUUGGAUUAAUGCCCCAUAGUAUAUAACCUUCGCAUGUUGGUUAUAUUAAAGUUCCAACGGUACAAGAUGAGCAUGCAUCCCAUUAUUUAGUUGGUAAGGUAACGGCUUACCAAGACGAUGAUGGGUAGGGGUCCUGAGAGGGAGCUCCCCCACACGGGUACUGACACACGGACCAGCCUCCUACGGGAGGCAGCAGUGAGGUAUAUUGGUCAAUGGGCGCAAGCCUGAACCAGCCAUGCCGCGUGCAGGAAGACGGUCCUAUGGAUUGUAAACUGCUUUUAUACAGGAAGAAACCCUCCCACGUGUGGUAGAUUGACGGUACUGUAGGAAUCAGGAUCGGCUAACUCCGUGCCAGCAGCCGCCGUAACAC